rnacentral:lncRNA from 1 species
CCUCUCUCUCUUACUGUUAUCUCCUUAAAAAUGCUCGAUAGAAUCUCAAAACAAAAACAACAAAUCCCAAAAAAGGAUUGAACUACGAACUAUCAAAAGAGAAAAAAAAAUGAACCUAGAAAUCACCUUUUUUGGCGCUUUUUGAUUUUUUUAUUCUGAUUGCGUAUAUUUUUUUACAACAUGGUCUUGAUCCUUUUUAUAUCGUCUAUUUACAUAAUAGAAUAAAAUAAAAAUAAAAUCCAAACAAAUCGCCCCUGCUCUAUAUCCUUAUUUUUUUUCUCUCUGCCUCUUUUGUUUGGUGUCUGUUUUUGCUGCUUUUUUGUGCGUCUCUUGCAGGUACGGAGUGUAGGGUCUGGACGUCACAUGUACGGAGGCAAAGGCACGCGUACGAGGUAGCAGACGUGGCACCAUGCACAUGGGGAGAGGCAUGGGUGGCAGCGGCACAGGAGGCUUCUGCUGCUGCUAGGGUUUUCAGCGUUUGAGGCUGAGUUGGGUUUUGGGCUUCUAUAAUCGGGCUAGGGACUUGGGCAUUUGUAUUUAGAAGUUGGGCUUAUUGUAUUGGGUUGUAACUGGACUGUGGACUUUUAAUUUUUAAUUUGGCCUUAUUUUAUUCAUUUGUUUAUUUGGUUUAUUUCACUAACGGGCCGGGUAGAUUGAGCCUACUACAGCUACCCCUCUUUGCUCGUUGUCGUGUAACAGGAAUAGAAAAAAGACUAAAGAGGACCAAUUUUUCCCGGUCGUGCUUGGAAUUUGGUGCUCUUCUUGUUCGAGUUGCCUCAUUCCAUCCUACUGCAUCUUCAGAGGUGUUGGAAUUGGUGCUUCGAUUCACUCCACCGCAUCGUCGGGGAGAUAGGAUUACUGGCUUCAAUCUGCUCCGCUGUAGUUUUAGGGAGAUAAGAUUCACCAUAUUCGAUCCGCUCUGCUACUGCUUAGGGAGAUAGGAUCUACAAUUUCCAACCUAUUCCACUGCUGGUUAGAGAUAUAGGACUUGUGACCUAAAUCUAUUUCCCUACUCCCGGGGAAGAUAAGAUUCGCCGUCUUCGAUCUGCUCCAUUAUUGCUUAGGGAGAUAAGAUCUACAUUUUCUAACCUAUUCCACUGCUGGUCAGGGACAUAGGACUUGUGGCUUAAAUCUGUUUCCCUACUCCUAGGGAAGAUAAGAUUCGCCGUCUUCGAUCUGCUCCACUAUUGCUUAGGGAGACAAGAUCUGCAAUUUCCAACCUAUUCCACUGCUGGUCAGGGACAUAGGACUUGUGGCUUAAAUCUGUUUCCCUACUCUUGGGGAAGAUAAGAUUCGCCGUCUUCGAUCUGCUCCGCUACUGCUUAGGGAGACAAGAUCUGCAAUCUUUACUGAUCUGUUCUCUAGGGAACAUGACAUGUGUAAUGAACCUAAUUAUGCCUAAUGGUUAGGAUGACAUGAUCAGAAUGAAUCUAGUGCUCCUAACUAGACAUGAGUGAAUGGUAUUUACAUGAAUGCAAGAUGCUGUCAUAUUACUCAAAAUCUUAUUAGAGCUUUUAUCAUAACCGUGCUUUAACACCCUCAUUCCUGGCCGGUGCCUUCAACAAAAAACUUAAUUAAAUUGCCCUCGCUGUAUACCUUCAAGCUCGUUUCAUUGGGUUCUGUUCAAUAUGCAACUCAAAAGGGAGCUCUGGUCUUCUCUUCAUAUUUCCAUCACAAUUGAAGGAUAUCAAACGUGUAAAUAUUUGGUACACCAUUCGCAGAAUGCCACAUUAAAUGCUUGUGCACGAAGAAUUUUCCUCCAAGGAGAUCUCUCCUUUCUAACUUAUGAUUAUUGCUGACAUUUCGUUCAAUUGAUGCUUCUGUCAAUGAAAUCCAAAAGGAAUUGUUUACAAAUCAGACUUUUCCUUAGAUUUCUGACCUUUAAACCUGGUUCGUUCUAAACAAUAGUCCUGUUUCGGAUUACUGUAUUAUUUAGAAAUUUUUCAGAGUAAUGUGCAAAACUUAUUUUGUGAAAGUUUAGUAGUCCAUUAAUCAUUAUUUCAAUGCAACAUGUUUGCUGAAAGAUUAUGACUAUGGAUAAAUGUUGGUUCUGAGCAUAGCUCGAAAGAGAUAAAAUAUCAAUAAUAGCGAAAGAAGAAUAACAAAGAAGUUGAUUGAGAAUGUGUAUAUUAAUAAAAAGGAAAGGUAUUUUCAAGAAUAACACAUUCAAUACAAUAAGAACCAGGUGCCCCAGCUAUCGCAGCUUGAAUUUCUCUAUACAAACUUUUGAAGACUAUUCUGAGUUUGGCAUGUGUUUAGGAGACUUGAAGUACUUUGUCAAUACUCCAAGAUGUCGUAUACCCUUUCUUGUUGGUUUAGGUAUAGCAAGAUCAUCGUGUGCCCCAAUCAAAAUUUGAACAGUUCCAAUCUUCUCACGCCCUAUUCUGACCAAUAUUUGAGCCGCCCUUUUCGGGUUUUCGACUCAAAUCUCCUUUGGUCUCAAGGCGCCAUUUGCAAGUUUUCACCUUGGCCUCUCUAAAUCCUUUUUUUUUAGGAAGCAAAGCGCCCUUCACGGGUUUUCACUUUGGUCCCCUUCUUUCAAGUGAAGUAUUUCUUGACGGAAUCUGCAUUUACGGGGUUUGGCAAACUUUUACCAUCCAUCUCACUUAGGAUCAAAGCUCCACCGGAGAAGGCCUUAUUUACAACAUAAGGACCUUCCCAAUUUGGCAUCCAUUUUCCUCUAAAGUCUUUUUGCAUAGGAAGAAUCUUUUUUAGCACCAAGUCUUCUUCACGAAACUCUCUGGGGCAAAUCUUUUUAUUAUAGGCUCGCAUCAUUCAUUUCUGAUACAUUUGCCCAUGGUGAAUGAAUCUUAACCUCUUCUCCUUUAUUAGGUUCAACUGGUCAUAUCGAGAUUGGACCCAUUCGGCUUCGUCCAACUGGAGUUCAGAUAAUACCUGUAGAGAGGGGAUCUCAACUUCAAUGGGUAAUACUGCCUCCAUUCCAUAAACUAGAGAAAAAGGUGUUGCUCCGGUAGAAGUUCUAACAGAUGUUCGAUAGGCAAUGAGAGCAAAUGAUAACUUCUCAUGCCAAUCUUUGUAAGUCUCAGUCAUUUUCCCCACAAUUAUUUUAAUAUUCAUAUUGGCUACUUCCACUGCACCAUUCAUUUUUGGAUGAUACGGCGACGAGUUAUGAUGCUUGAUCCUAAAUUGACUGCAAAUCUCAGCUAUUGUGCUAUUGUUCAAAUUCCACGUAUUGUCGGAUAUGAUUAUCUCAGGCAUUCUAUAUCGACAAAUGAUCUCCUUUUUCAAGAAUUUACUGACCGUUGACUUCGUGACAUUUGCGUAUGAAGCAGCUUCUACCCACUUGGUGAAGUAAUCAAUGACUACAAAGAUGAAACAAUGCCCAUUAGAAGCCUUUAGCGAUAUCGGCCCAAUGACAUCCAUACCCCACAUGGAAAACGGCCAUGGAAAGGUCAUAAUGUGAAGUGGCGUAGGGGGUGCAUGCAUCCUGUCUCCAUAAAUCUGACAUUUAUGGCAUUUCUUGGCAUAAUUAAUGCAAUCCCCUUCCAUAGUGGACCAAUAGUACCCAAAUCUCAUGAUCUGUCUGGCCAUGGUGAAACCAUUGGCGUGCGUCCCACAGAUACCCUCAUGGACUUCCUCCAAAAUUUUCUUAGCUUCCAUGGCAUCCACACAUCUUAACAGUACUUAAUCUUUCCUUAUUUUGUAUAACACUUCCCCAUCUAAGACAUAUUCGAUGGCUAUUCUUCUCAGAGUUCUCUUGUCGUUCUCUGUUGCUUGACUAGGGUACUCACGAUUCUUCACAUACUGUAAGAUACUCUAAUACCAAGGGCGAUCGUCCUUUCCCUCAUCCUCAAUACUGUAGCAAUGAGCUGGGGUUUCAUAGAUACUCUUCUGAAUAGGCCUCAUUACUUCAAGCCUGUUCACCUGAAUCAUCGAAGCUAGAGUAGCUAAUGCAUCAUCCAUUUGGUUUUCCUCUCGUGAGAGAUAACUGAAGGUGAUAUCGUCAAAAUCAUCAACCAACUCGAGGACCAACCUUCUAUAACUGAUUAACAUAGGGUCUCUAGUUUCUCAUUCCCCUUUUAGUUGGUAUAUCACCAAUACGGAAUCCCCAUAUACUCUUAGCACUUUGAUGUUCCGCUCGAUGGCUGCAUGAAUGCCCAUAAUACAUGCUUCAUAUUCUGUCAUAUUAUUUGUGCAAUCAAAGUCCAACUUGCUAGCCACAGGGUAAUAAUCCCCAUUCGGGGAUACCAAGACUGCCCCAAUUCUAUUACCCAUAGCAUUCGAAGCUCCAUCAAAAUUUAACCUCCACACGUGAUACCUUUGAGGAUUUUCUUCAGUGCUUGCCACAUACAUCAAGUUCUCGUUUGGAAAAUCAAAGUUUAAAGGCUCAUAGUCCUCCAAGGCUCUACUAGCCAGGAAAUCAGCUACUGCACUCCCCUUUAUGGCCUUCUGACUUACAUAUACUAUGUCAAAUUCAGAGAGCAGGAUCUGCCAUCUAGCCAUUCUCCCGUUUAAAGCAUUUGAUUCCAUCAUAUAUUUUAAAGGAUCCAACUUUAAAAUCAGCCAAGUCGUAUGAUACAACAUAUACUGCAUUAGUCUUCGUGUUGUCCAGAUUAAAGCACAACACAAUUUCUCGAUUGAUGAGUAUCUCAUUUCAUAGCCAGUGAAUUUCUUGCUGAGGUAAUAUAUUGCUAUUUCUUUCUUUCCCAUUUCAUCGUGUUGGACCAAUACACAUCCCAUGGAAUUCUCAAACACCAUUAGAUACCAUAUUAACGGCCUACCCAGACUUGGCGGUGAUAGUACGAGAGUAUUAGCUAAAUAUUGUUUUAUCUUAUCACAAGCCUCCUGACAUUCCUCAUCCUAAUCACCCGAAUUAUGCUUCUUUAAAAGACGGAAUACUGGAUCACAUUUCUCAGUCAAUUGUGAAGUGAAUCGAGCAAUGUAAUUCAAUCUUCCUAGGAAACUUCGGACUUCUUUCUGAAUGCGUGGAGGAGGCAGGUCUCGGAUUGCCCUUAUUUUGUCCAGGUCUACCUCAGUCCCCUUCUUACUAACUAUGAAGCCUAACAACUUCCCUGAUCUGGCUCCAAACGUGCAUUUUACGGGGUUAAGCUUAAGCUGAAAUUUCCUCAAUCUCAAAAAUAAUCUUUCAAGACUUGAACAUGCUCUUCUUCAGUUCUAGAUUUUGCAAUCAUAUCAUCAACAUAGAUUUCGACCUCCUUAUGCAUCAUGUCAUGAAACAAGGUUACCAUAGCUCUUUGAUACGUUGCUCCCGCAUUCUUCAAUCCAAAAGGCAUUACUUUGUAACAAAAUGUUCCCCAUAAAGUAAUGAAUAUUGUUUUUCUCAUAUCUUCAGUGUGCAUUUUUAUUUGAUUGUAUCCAGAAAAGCCAUCCAAGAAAGAGAAUAGUGAGUAGCCCGCCGUAUUGUCUACCAGAGUAUCAAUGUGAGGCAACAGAAAAUUAUCCUUUGGACUAGCCUUAUUCAAGUCCCAGUAAUCCAUGCACAUUCGUACCUUUCCAUCUUUCUUGGGAACGGGGAUGAUGUUAGCUACCCAAUCUAAAUAUUUGAUCUCCUGUAAGAAUUCAAUGUUGAACUGCCUUUUGACCUCUUCUUUUAUUUUUAGCACAACAUCAGGUUUCAUCCUCCUGAGCUUCUGCUGAACUGGUUUACAAUCUUCUUUUAUGGGCAGACGAUGUACCAUAAUACUAGUACUUAACCCGGGCAUAUCUUGGUAUGACCAUACGAACAUAUCUUUAAAUUCUCGGAGCAAUUCAAUGAGGUCUUGUUUUGUCUUUGUAGCGAUUUCAGUUCCAAUUUUCACCUCCUUUCCCUCCUUUAGGCUCACGAUUUCUAAUGAUUCCCUGUAAGGUAGGAUCUACUCAUCCUCUUGUUCUACCAUUCUCAACAAGUCCGGAGAUAUACCACAGUCUUCGUCAUUUUCAAAGCCAAGAGAUCCCUCUAAACACAUGUCUUGCUCAAAAAGAAGCUCCGUGCUUGAAACAACGUCACUCAUGUCAUUGAUAUCUGAGGACCUAUGAGGGCAUAUCAAAGAAUAUACCAAGAAUAUAUAAAUUUAUGAAUAAUUAUUUGUACAAUAAGGUUACAUAUGAAAGAAUUAUUUGCAGGACAAUCAGUCAAUUAAAAAAUAUUUACUUGUAUGAAAAGAAAAAGGAAUAAUUGCUCGAAAUGAAUGUAAAGAUGUAUUUCAUUAGAAUAAUGAUAUUCAGGCUUAAGCCUAUUCACAAAGGAUUUCCUAUCAUUUCCAAGCUAAAACAACAAGAAUGUUCUGAGUAUUACUCUGAAUAAGCCCUAAAGACUACAGAGAUUUCUUCUGCAGUCUAGUUGUUUAGCUCACUUCCAGGUUCGUAAGGGCAGAUCUCCAACAAGGCCCUUUUUUUCAACUGUUUCUAUAGCAUUGAUAUGAACAUUUUCUAAUAUUUCUUCAAUUUCUUCGCUUCUGGGCACCCCACGGUCAGGAUGAAUAAACCCACUCGAUACAAAAGAUAUAAAUAUGUGGGGAAAGGACAUAGGCUCCCACUUGACCUCUUUUCCGCUCAAACGUGCCCUUCUCUCUUGCCUUUUCUCUACUUUUUUUCUUCUGCUUCAUGUCUGGCUUGUAUCCUAAGCCAUAACUAUCAAACUUUUCCUUUAGCAACGGUGUUUCAAUCUUUCCUUGAAGAUAUUUUCCCAAUCCUUUCCCGGGUGAAGCUCCUCUUCCAAUCAUCAAUCGCAGCCCCAUCUCCGUGGUCCUGGAUAUUUUCGGUACCAGAAUUCUACUUCCAUCAGCAAUAAACAUCGCGUUCAAAAAUUCUAAUGACCGAAAAGAGCAUUCCACUGCCUCAUCAUCAAUCUCCACAUAAGGUGCAUCACCAGUUACUGUUGCGAUGAUAUCUUCCUCCACAUUUAUUGUUAUCACCCGACCCUCUGAUACUAUCUUCACCUUCUGAUGUAGUGAUGAAGGUACUGCCCUGGCUGAGUGUACCCAUGGUCUUCCCAAUAAACAGUUGUAGGAAGGCUUAAUAUCCAUCACCAAGAAGUCCACCUCAUAAGUAAUUGGGCCAAUCCUUAAUGGUACCUCAAUUCUCCUCAUAACCCUCUUUUCCGUUCCAUCAAAUGCCCUUACUAUGCUCUGGCACGCUUUCAUGUGUGAGCUGUCCACCGGUAACCGACUAAGAGUAGAUAAAGGUAAUAUAUUCAAUGCAAAUCCGUUAUCAACCAAGACCCCCAAGAGUGUGUACCCUUUGCAUCGGGUAGUAACGUGCAGGGAUUUAGUAGAACCCCUUCCUCCAGAUGGUAUUUCGUCAUCACUGAAGAAGAUAAAAUUGUCAGCACUUAUAUUGUUGACCAACCGAUCUAUCUUGUUCACUGAAAUAUCAUCAGCCACAUAUUUUUCAUUUAGUACUUUCAAUAGUACAUUUCGAUGUACUUCUGAACUUAAAAGUAAAGCUAAUAUAGAAAUGCGAGCAGACUGUUUGCGCAGUUGUUCCACAACGCUGUAUUCGCUGUGUUUCAAAAAUUUCAAAAAUUCAUUCGCUUCCUCUUCUUUUAUUGGUUCAUUAAUCAAUGGUUCAACUUCCACUGCCUUCCCUUUCCUUUGUUCUUUCUUCCAAUUCUCUUCUCUUGACAAUUUUGCUUGAGCGUCAUAUCGUUUCCCAUUGCGCGUGUAAGAACCUACCUCCUGAUUUCUCUCCGCUUCUUUUCCCAAGAUUGUCACAUUGCACCCAUAAUUCCACGACACCAUUUUGCUAUCCUUAUAUGAGAAAUUUACCGGUUUCUGGAUUACAAUUUUUGGUGUUACCUGAACCCUAGACUCAUUGCUCCAAGGGCACAAAAUGAUAACCACAGGAUGAUUUGUUUCCGGAGUCUUUGUUGCCAACUUUGAUGCACAAAUAUUUCUUUUACCUUCCACUUCUUCGUAAAAUCUUAUCUCUUUGUUCUCCAUCAUGUUUUGGACCAGAGCUCUGAAUCCCUUACAUUCUUGAAUCUCAUGUCCUCCUUUGCGGUGGAAUUCACAAUAGUUUUUAGUCUCAUACCUUUCUUCCAAAUCUGAAAUAACUAGGCCUCUCUUCGCCAUCUCUCUCCAGACCCAUUUCAACGGAGUUUUUUCUUCAGCAAUGUCGUUCUUGACUUCUUCUCCCCUACUUUCACUAGUCAUAUUCACUCCCUUAUCGGUAUGAUUGGGUAGCAGAUUUUCUGUAUUACGUGAGUCAUCAAGCUUGACAACACCCAUGCUAAUAAGUCUUUCGACUAGCUUCUUAAAGGUAGUGCAAUUUUCUAUUGAGUGCCUCGUAAUUCUUGCAUGGUAAUCACAUUGUGUGCUCGCAUCAUACCAUUUGGGAUACGGGGGUUACAAAGGGGUCAAGUAAUGGGGAGAAACAACGUGUGCGUUGAACAAAUUUUGAUACAACUCUUUGUAUGACAUCGGAAUUGGUGUGAACUGGGGUUUCUCAGUACCUUGCCUCAUACUAGAUUCUUGUCUUGCUGAACCCUGCUGACUAGCAAUCACCUUCCUUGGCUGGGUCACCGUAAUUGACUUGUUGUAUGUAUUCAUGUUGUUUACUUCAUUUUCCUUUCUUCUCGGGGCCGACCUUUUGUUACUCUAUCCUGCUUCUAUUUUCCCAUUUCUUAUGGCAUUCUCAAUCAUUUUGCCAUUCAUUACUAUAUCUGAGAAACUUUUUAUUGCACCUCCCAGUAUGUGCGUGAUGAACGGGGCUUUUCAGGUAUUGAUAAAGAGCAUCGUAGUUUCUCUUUCUAGGAGCAGUGGUUGGACUUGAAUAGAAACUUCCUUCCAUCUUUGUGCGUACUGCCUGAAACUCUCACUUGGUUUCUUCUCUAUGUUUUGUAACGUAAUUCUAUCGGGGGUCAUAUCCGUUACAUGGUUGUAUUGCUUCAUGAAUGCCUAUGCUAGGUCCCUCCAUGAACCGAUCUUGGUACGACUUAAGUGAUUGUACCAUUUAGACACUACUCCUACCAAACUGUCUUGGAAACAAUGUAUUAGUAGUUGAUUGUUAUUAACGUAGCCAGUCAUCCUUCUACAGAAUAUAGUGAUGUGGGCUUCGGGGCAGCUAGUUCCAUUUUAUUUUUCAAACUCAGGCAUCUUGAAUUUGGGAGGAAGUAUUAAAUCUGGAACUAAGCUUAGGUCUUUUGCGUCGAUUCCCUGAUUACCAUCAGCACUUUCUAAGGCUUUGAAUUUUUCCUCCAGUCACUUAUACCUAUCCUCCCAUUGUUUUGGUAAUUCCAUAUUCACCUUUCCUUCUUCAGCUGUUUCAUCAAAAUCAGGAAUGAUGAGAUUAAUAAGGUUAUCUCCCAGGUUUAAACUUGAUCUCCUGGGAAAACUAUGGGGAUCGUGGGACCAGUUUGUAAUUGUUGUGGUCUAAUUGUGACAGACGGUCUCCUUGAGUAUAUUUCAGCUUGGGUUUGUGCAUUUGGUGGAGUGAAACCCGGAGGAUAUAAUAGAUCCUCACUACCUUCUCCAGGAUUGGCCAUAGGGCCCUUUCCUUUAUCCACCCCUCUCGUCAGCAGAUGGGUCAAUUCAGCCAUUGCAUCCUUUUGAGCUUUGAUCAAUUUUUCUGUCAUGUCUUCUUGAAUUUUAUCUAGUCGCUCUUGCAUUUGUGCUUGCAACCGUUUUUGCAUAUCCCUUUGAAUUUGCUCUAGUUUCUCUAAUCUUUGGUCCAUUUCCUUAGUUUUCAGUCGAGUACCGUAUUGAUGCUUAAUUGGUGAGCUUUUGUCGGUUUCCAGGUUAACUGUAAUGAUUUUCACCAAUUAGGGUCUUUUGGUGGACUUUAAUACACAUGAUGCAAUGCAAUGCAUGAAUGCAAGAAUGCGUCAAUUCUAAUUUAAUCUCAUUUAGAAGACUUUACUAGAAAACAAAAUUCUUUACAUAAAACAAAUUACAUAUAUGCUCUUGCCCUAAUGCUCAGAACUUUAAUUUUCCUAAGUAAUGAAGCUAAUUCCUGUCCCCGACUUGAUUCCAGCUCAUACUUUAUGCUCAGUGCAUCGGCUUGUACCGCCAAAGUCUGCAGGUGAUCAGCUACCUCCCGGAUUUGAACCACGGCUUCUCCCAUGAUACGAUCUCUAUUUUUAACUUGACUCUGAAGAUGAUAAAGUUGUUCACUCUGAUGACUUUCGUUGUUUUCCAAGUACUCAGUCUUGAUCUCAGAACUUCGUAAUGCCGAUUCCAACUCUUCUAUUCUUCCCUUCAUUUCUUCGAUCUUGCUCAAGCUCGCCCUCAAUUCCAUUGCAGAAUUUCGACUUCGAUACUGAUGAAGAGAUCUUUGUAGCUCCGUCACUCUAUCUUUUAGUUCAUAUUUUUCCUUUUGGCUUUCUGACAAACUCUCUUCUAAUGCUUUAUUUCGCAUCUGAACCUCUCGAAAUUUCUUUUCCCAUCCAUCAGCCUUGACCUUUUCUUCCCGAAUCUCUUGACGCCACUGUUCUGAAGUUUUCCCUAACCCAGCAGUUCUUAUUGACAACCUCAACUUCUUAUAGUCUGUCUUCAAACUGUCCAGGUCUUGCUCAGCCUUGUUCUUACCUUUUCUUAAUUUCUCAGUCUCUAACUUUUGAACAUCCACAUCUAAUCCCAAGUGCAUCUUUUCUUCUUCCAACUGCUCAAUCUUCUUUUCAAGCUCUGCAUUCCUCUUUACAAAAUCUUGCUUCAUAAUUUCCAAUUCGGAGGGAACAACCCGCAAAUGUUCUUCUAUUGAUUGACUAUCUCCUUGACUUGACUUUGGGAUGUUAUCAUUGAUCCUUCUAACCCACCAUUUAUUAUAUUCAGGAGUCGUCGUCGGGCCUACAGCUAAUCUCUUCAUCCGUCGAGUUUGGUCCCAUGCCCUGGUUAUCUCUCGAAUCUUCUUUUUAUAGCCAUCAUAUUUAUAUGAGAAUUCAAACUCAGCUAGGCCUUGGGUUACAGGUAUAAACUGCCUUGACCAGUACUGCCUUAGCACCAUCAAUGGAGCAUAACCAACAGCUCCCCAGAUUCUAAGUAAUGGGACCCAAUCAAAAUUACCACAUCGGUACAAGAUCUUAUCCGGAAGCAACCAUGGGGCUUUCCACUCAAUGUCCUCAUGAAGAUUCUAAAGAACGGCCAACCAUUUCUCUUCCGAGAUGUCAUCUCUCCUUGGUGUAGCCGCUAUCUCCUUUAAUGGCGAAUAGUUUUCGGAGAAGACUCGCUACAAAACCUUAUCAACCUUCCAAAAAUGACUGUGAACCAUGUAAGUAGAAGCUGCACACAUCCAAUAAAUCUGCCUUCACCCAUCCUUCUACACGUAUUCAGUGACCUGAAGGUUUCUGCCAGAAUAGCCGGAACUGGUGUAACCCUCUUAUCAAGUCAGUCAAAGAGAUCCGAGGCUGUUUCAUCUACGUGCCCUAGUGCCUUAGGAAAAAUUACUAGCCCAUAAAUGCUCAGAACAAAAACGUCAACCUUUUUCCUUGCAUCAGGGUGUGCCAAAAUCAGCUCUUGUAGGCUUUUCCAAGGAAUGCAUCUGCUUUCCCCCUUCUGCUUGAUUCGUGCCGCGACCCACUGCUCACCCAUUCCAGUGAUGUUCAUCAACUUCUUCACAAAGGUUGGGACAUUAACGGCUUUAGAGUAGACUUUAUCAACUUGGAUCUUCAGGCAACGAAGCAAAGCUGUAUAUUCUUCUAUAGUGGGUACUAAAUCAACCCUCCCAAAGGUAAAGCAACUAUAUGCGGGGUUCCAAUACUGAGCGAAAGCCCGAAACAAAUGUUCAUCUACCUUAAUAUCGAGUAGAUACGGCAAAUCCCCGUAACUAGAGUUGAACAACUGCUUAGUCUCAUCAUUCCAAUGAUCUCAUAUUGCCUUUAAUUCCUGAAGGCUAUUUUGCGUUACACUGAUACAGGUGUAGUCCCAUAACUCUGACGUGUACCCCCGGCUAGACUAUCUCCUUUCUCUAAUUGUGUUUUCUCUGACCACAUACGGACAACAACAAUAUCUUCUACUUUAUCAAGAAAUCCGUUCUCUAUGCCAAGCUUUCUAAUUUAGAAAUCGAACUUGAACCGACACUCUUUUGAAUAUGAAGUGAUAUGAAAACAUAACAAAAACACCAUAGGUUAGUGUAACAUACCAAAACACAACUUCAAGUAAGUAAAAAGCAUCAAACAGCUAUCUGGGUAACUGCUAGGGUUUUCGCAGUACGAUCAAGGGUGGGCUCUUAAUGUUUUCUAUAUGCGGCUUGGUUCUAAAGUUAAGGUACCCGAACCAAUAGAUUCCUCGAUCCUCACCCAUUAUAGGCUCAUACGGAUCGAGUUCGGUUUAGGGGAAUACAUUUCCCUAUGGCUACACGAAGAUGAAAAUCUCAUGAAGACAUAGGUACUGAUGUAUCCCGGAAGCGAUCCACUAUCCUGCACGGAGGUGAAAACCUCACGAAGGACUAGUUUCUCACUCCCACUUAAGAGGGUAAGACUAAUAGUCUUAUGCAAUAUGACGCCAGGAUAUAAAACUCAAUUUACAGUAAUCGUACCACACACAAAUGCAAUGAGAGAAUCAUAGUUUUUCAAAUUAAAUCUUCAAUUUUCAAUAAUAAGACAAAAACAAUCAAUUUUACGGCCAGACUCUCUAUGGUAUUCCCCAGUGGAGUUGCCAAGCUGUCGAAACCACUGUUUUGAAAACAAAAAUUUGGGUUGUCGACUUAUUAAAAAUGAAAAUUUGGGAGUCGCCGCCGAUCUUUUAUUGAGGUGUGAUCGGAUCACCUUGAAAAUAAUUUUAGGUCUGCGAAUUUUGAGAAAAACAGGUUCGGGAGUCAGUUACACACGAGGAAGGGUUAGCACCCUCGUAACACCCAAAUUGGUAUCGAAUUGAUUGUUUAAUGUCUUAAUGUCAAAAUUUUGAAAAGAAAAUUUUAAAUACGAUCCUUUCCUUUUUUAUUUAUAUUAAUUUUGCAAGAGAUGCUUGGAUAAAUCGAUAUGAAUGCUAAAGACCAUCUCAUCUCAGAGUAAUAAAAUGUCAUACCCAAUACAUUAGGACACGACAUUUUUAGUCCUCGAGAACGAGCUUGUCUUUUGAUUUUCAAAAUUCUUGAGGUUAAAAAGGGAUAUUCAAUUGCUUAAAGUCAGAUGAAAAAUUGAAAUCCAAUACGUUAGGGCAAAAUCCUCAAAAUUCGUAGCAUUGAACAUAACCCUUAUUUUUUUAAAACCUCAUUUCAAGAAAACGACAUAUCGCAUCCAAUACAUUAGGACACGUCGUAUCAAAUUCCCAAGAAUGAGUUUUUGUUUUGAAUGAAGCAUAUCCCGGAUUAUUUAGAUUCAACGAGGAGAACUAGAACCCAAUACAUUAGGGCUCAAUCCUUUCGAAGAUCCUAAAUGUCGAAUAUUGCGUUACUUGUGAAAACUUUUGUAAAAAAGGGUUUUAAUGCUUUAAUGAAACUAAAUAUUUUAAAUUAAAAUGAUGAGAUGUUAAUACAACUAAACUAUAAUUAAUGAGCUAAAGUAUGUACCAAACAAUCAUAAAAAAAAACAAACACUAUUAAAUAACAUAAUACAUAUGCGGGCAAUAAUAUCCAUCACAUAUCGUGCGAACACAAACAUCAACAUUCAACAAUUAAACGAAUUAAUCGUCAAAUUUAAAAGAAGAGUUAAACUAAACAAUGUAAAGUAUGAUAAGUUUCCAGAUAAAUAAAAUGAAUAUUGAGAUAUAUUAAAAGGCUAGAAAUGAAUACUAUGUGACAUAAUAAUAUAGAAAUGAAUUUUUAAGUAAAUAUUUCAUGAAAAGAAACUCAAAAUAUAUGCAUAUGCUAAAUUGAACAAAUGAUACAUGUAAAAUGAAAAAACUUUAUAACAAUGUUUGUAUGCUAAAUUUAUUUAAUACUAAUUUAAAAUAAUAAUAUAUUAUAUUAUUAAAAUUACUAUGAUGAACUUUAAAACCAUAUUAAAACUUUAAAAUAAUACUAGCUUAUGAGUAAAUAUAUAUUCUAAAGAAAAAAAAUCGAAAUAAAUCUUGAUUAAAAUAAAUAGGUUAAAUUAUGGAUUAAAUUAAAAUAAAAAUGGAAUUAAAAGGAAUAAAUGAAAAUAACGCAAAGGAGAUGGGGCCAAAUGCAACAUGCAGAUAACUUGGGGGACCAAAUGGGGAAUAAUCCCCGUCCCUCCAAAACGCAGUGCAUAACCUGGGCCCAGAUGAAACAAGAGCAAAAUGCAAUGCGAAAUUCACAAAAUAAAAUAAAAGGAUUUGAAAACGCCAAGGCAGGAGGGGGACCGAGCACGCGAAUAGACCAAUAAACCCAGGUGGGCGGAUCCUACCCGGAUCGGGUCACCGUUCGGGUUUGAUCACAGACGGCGCCGUUUUGAAUCAGGUUAUUAAAAUAAAACAAAGCACAAAAAAAAGGAACCCUAACAGAACACUUUAAAACCAUUUCUUAAAAACUUAAACUCUCCCUCUCCCUCGACACCGCUCAGUAGUUCAUCACCCUUUCAGAGGCUCUCCGGACCGUGCCUUUAGCUCCGACAACAACGGAGGAAGAGCAAUCGGUCCAAACGUGAGGUACGCCCUCUCUCUCUUACUGUUAUCUCCUUAAAAAUGCUCGAUAGAAUCUCAAAACAAAAACAACAAAUCCCAAAAAAGGGUUGAACUAUGAACAAUCAAAAGAGAAAAAAAAUGAACCCAGAAAUUACCUUUUUUGGUGCUUUUUGAUUUUUGUAUUCUGAUUUUUGUAUUCUGAUUGCGUAUAUUUUUUUACAGCAUGGUCUUGGUCCUUUUUAUAGCGUCUAUUUACAGAAUAGAAUAAAAUAAAAAUAAAAUCCAAACAAAUCGCCCCUGCUCUGUCAUCCUUACUUUUUUUCUCUCUGCCCCUUUUGUUUGGUGUCUGUUUUUGCUGCUUUUUUGUGCGUCUCUUGCAGGUACGGAGCGCAGGGUCUGGACGCGGCACGUACGGAGGCGAAGGCGCGCGUACGAGGUAGCAGACGUGGCACCACGCACAUGGGGAGAGGCGUGGGUGGCAGCGGCGCAGGAGGCUUCUGCUGCUGCUAGGGUUUUCGGCGUUUGAGGCUGAGUUGGGUUUUGGCCUUCCGUAAUCGGGCUAGGGACUUGGGCAUUUGUAUUUAGAAGUUGGGCUUAUUGUAUUGGGUUGUAACUGGACUGUGGACUUUUAAUUUUUAAUUUGGUUUUAUUUUAUUCAUUUGUUUAUUUGGUUUAUUUCAUUAACGGGCCGAGCAGAUUGAGCCUACUACAAUUAAAAAAUAUAUAAAAGUAUUUUAUUGUAAUGAUGACGUAUUAUAAGAAUAAGAAAUAGACAUUAUUUUCUUGGGGCUUGGCUCUGAAA